rnacentral:rRNA from 1 species
CACGCAGGCGGUCCGUUAAAUAAGGAGUGAAAGCCCUGGGCUCAACCCGGGAAUUGCUCUUUAGACUGGCGGACUUGAAUCCGGAAGAGGGCAGUGGAAUUCCCAGUGUAGAGGUGAAAUUCGUAGAUAUUGGGAAGAACACCAGUGGCGAAGGCGACUGCCUGGUCCGGCAUUGACGCUCAUGUGCGAAAGCGUGGGGAGCAAACAGGAUUAGAUACCCUGGUAGUCCACGCCGUAAACUAUGAGUGCUAGUUGUUGGGGUGCAUGCACCUCAGUGACGCAGCUAACGCAUUAAGCACUCCGCCUGGGGAGUACGGCCGCAAGGUUAAA